rnacentral:lncRNA from 8 species
UUACUAUGGCAAACUGAUCAAGCCAAACAGAGACUUAAGAGAAGAGUACAAGCUGGAGACAACAUGGUAUAGGGAGUAGAGACCAGGGGCCCCAGGGCCCAGAAAGUGUGUCCAUCCGGGGCAGAGGCAGGAGGGAGAUCAGCACACUGAUGGAAGCCCAACACCAAGCAUUGACAGUGUGCCACCUGGUGAGGGAAGAGUGAGGCACAGCCUGCUCAACCUGCCCAUCAUCAAACCAGAGAGACUGCAGACAGCCAAAGUACUGGUGGAGAAAGCUGUAAAGGUGUUCUCCAUACUGCGUCCAAACACUGGGGUUCGGGCUGCCCUAAGGGCGAGGGGAUGGCUAGAGCAUUGUCUGCCAUGUCGAAACCAGCACUGUCACCAUGGAGAUGAGGAGGAUGAUGAUGAUGAUGCUGAUGACAAUGACAGCCCAGAGAGACAGACCCAGAUGACAAUAAAGGGAAAGGGGAUACCUAGUCAGUUGCACAACUGAAUGCAUUCAACCAAAAUGUGUCUUCCGCUUUUAACCCAACCCAUCUGAAUCAGAGAGGUGGGAGCAGUUGUUGGGGGUUAACUGCAUUGCUCAAGGGUGUGUG